AGGGAAAUAUUUCCUUGUGCCA
rnacentral:siRNA from 1 species